UAGAUACAUCUGUGUCUUUCCAUAAGCUC
rnacentral:piRNA from 1 species